CUUCGGCAGAGAGAGCAUCUGUGAGCCAAAUUCACCGGUGCUGGGUUUUAAGAUUGUAUUACUGGUGAAGAUUGUGGUGAGAGAGAAAUUUUAAGGAAUAAUUUAUUGAAAAAGCCACAAGGAGAAGAGCCAAGAGUGACACGUGGAGGAGUCCCAGAGGCUUAGUGGUAUAGAUCCACUGUCUCUUUUGGGUAUUUAAUUUAUGAUUUAUAAUGUGUUAUAUUGCCAAUAUUAGGACUUUUUUAUGUUUAUUGUCAAUUAUAUGAAUAUAUAAAUGUAAUCAUGCCUUUCAAACUAUUUCUAUUUUUGGUACAAUUUGGAUGACUGUAAUUUUAAUAUUUGGUUUACUUUGGAUUGGUUAAAAUGGCAUGAUUAUAAGGCCAAAUAACUGGCUUGUGUUGAAAAUUGACUAAA